AGCUGCUCGGCGCAAACCUUACCACAACAUAUACAUGUCCAAUGGCGUUUCACUACACGAGUUGUCGGUUUCUCUUUCAAAAGGCAGAAAACCUUCAGAAAGGCAGAACGAUGACUUAUGCAGCAUCUGUUCAGAUGGCGGGGAGCUUCUUCUUUGUGACUCCUGUCCGAGAGCUUUUCACAGAGAAUGUGUUGGCUUGUCUUCUGUACCAAAAGGAGCUUGGUGUUGCCGGUAUUGUGAAAGCAGGCAACAGA